AUCUGGUUGAUCCUGCCAGUAGUCAUACGCUCGUCU
rnacentral:rRNA from 1 species